CCUACGGGAGGCAGCAGUGGGGAAUAUUGCACAAUGGGGGAAACCCUGAUGCAGCGACGCCGCGUGAGUGAAGAAGUAUUUCGGUAUGUAAGGCUCUAUCAGCAGGGAGGAAAAUGACGGUACCUGACUAAGAAGCCCCGGCUAACUACGUGCCAGCAGCCGCGGUAAUACGUGGGGGGCAAGCGUUAUCCGGAUUUACUGGGUGUGAAGGGAGCGUAGACGGCGCGGCAAGUCUGAAGUGAAAGGCAGGGGCUUAACCCCUGAACUGCUUGUGAAACUGCCAUGCUAGAGGGCUGGAGAGGUAAGUGGAAUUCCUAGUGUAGCGGUGAAAUGCGGAGAUAUUAGGAGGAACACCAGUGGCGAAGGCGGCUUACUGGACAGUAACUGACGUUGAGGCUCGAAAGCGUGGGGAGCAAACAGGAUUAGAUACCCGUGUAGUC
rnacentral:rRNA from 1 species